UGGCUCCCUAUAUAUAUAUAUAUAUUCCUUUUAUUUUUGGAGUAUUUCAUUUAUAAUAAUAAUAAAGCUAUGCUCCGUUUUAAGUAUUGUAACUCCCGAUCAUCGCUACCCUUUCCGAUUGAUCUGGAACCCAUAACUCAUGUCAGGGCUCUGCCCAACUAAGUUCGUUGGGAUUCUGUCUCGGGACAUCGGGAUAAGGUUGAAUUAGGGGUACUAUACUUACCACGAGUGCAUUAUAUAUUUUUAAUAGUCUAGAAGUUAUACCCAAAAUUUAUACCAAGAGACUUUCUAGUUGAACCCUAAAGUUAUAAAGUGGGUCCAUUCUCUUUUCUCACCAAAACUAUUGAUUAUUAUAUUUUGUCCAAAAGGAAACCCUAAUUGAAACCCCCAAGUAAUCUUGCAUAAAGCCUAAAAUUUUCAUAACAAUCAGAAUCAGAGUCAGGGCCCCUAAAACUCAGAGGGGGAUAUUCCCUAAUCAGAAUUAUCUUUAUAAUUCAUUGUCAAAAUUGAAUUUUUACGAUACGUUGACUCAGCAGACCUAAGUAGGUGACGAAGCAGGCCUAGCCUACUUUGGAUUCCCCCGCGACACGCGACAGAUCCCGGGGAUCCUGUCGCGACACGCGGGCGGGUCCAAAUCAGGCUAUAAAUCCAGGGGCUGGGACUUGCUCAGUUUGAUUGUUUCGACGAUAAAUUUCAAUUCGUACAUUGAGUUAUCGUCUGUUUACUACAUAACACACAUAGCACAAAACGCUGCCGCGACAAUAGGGUAAUAACUCGAUCGCUAUUACGAUUCCAUGUCCGAUCGAUUGGAACUAUCCAAUGGAUGUUUAAGUGCUGCUCAAACUCGAGUUAUACUUUCUCGUUCGUCGUGAUUCCGACAGGAUGUUUGAGUGUCACCCGAACUCGGGCUAUACUCUGUCAUUCGUUGCGAAUCCGCUGGAUGUUUAAGUAUCGCACUUUGUCAUUCAUUGUGAGGGUUUAAUCUCGUGAGUUAUCGUAAAUGAUGUACUAGUUAUUUACCUAGUUUCGUGUGCAUUAUUGUUUAAAUUAGGUUAUCAGGCUUAUCCGUAGGCUAAACUCUACCCCAUACACUUACAAUUAAAGUAGAUGCUAAUUCUCAGAAGAACUUGAAUCAGGAAGCUUGUUAAAUCAAUACUGCAUGCUUAUAAUGUGAGUCAUUCUCUUUUUACCAAACUUGCUUUCAAAAUCAUGUUUGUUUUCAAAGUUAUAAUUACAGGGAUUAAGUCUUUGUAGUCUUCAUUAAAGCCGGUAUGUGGGGUUUUGUAUACAUUACUUGUUAAUCCAUCACCAUUGGACAACGAGAUAGCCAAGGGGUGAUAUGACCAUAGUCACAGACACCAUUGGACAACGAGAUAGCCAAUGGGUGGUCGAGUGACAAAUACCGUGGGUAUAUGGUUGACAUGUAGAAACAUUGUAAUCGCUCUUAAUACUAUAAAUUAUAACUAUGAGUCAUUUUGUGCAAACUGAAUGAACUCACUCAGUAUUUCCUGCUGACAAAACCUUUUUAAAAUGCAUUCCAGGUAAUUACAGUAGAUUGGAAUAAGAGUUGGAUACGGCACCAAAAGGCUUACAAAAGUGGCUUGAUUUAUUAAUUCAAUUAAAUUAUGAAAAGUUGUUUUGUGUAUUCGGGUUUAUCCCCUAUUAAAGCUACCUUUGUAAAACAUGGGUUUUUAUCCCAUUUAUUUAAUAAAUAAAAUCCGGUGUUUCGAAACUCUGAUAUUUUUCCUAACUAACGGUCCUGACGAAAUUUCCGCUGCAAAAUGUUCAAAAAUAACCACCGGUACCACUUGGCUGUUCGCGGCUCCCGAUUCUGUCCAGGGUAGGGUCGGGGGACGUGACAUGUGGUCCCCUUCCGGAUUGUCAUCGUGUGGUCCAGAACUCCUCCAAAAAAUAACUUUUGGAUUUGGAUAUGUACUUGUUCUCGGUUAAAGUAUAAAAGGGAAGGUGAAACUGAACUUCAAUGAGACCCGUAUGGGUCGAUGAGAGGCAUAUGCAAGUGGGGUGUCAUAAAUGUCCUGUCAACUUUUCAGAAAAGGUGGGUGGAUAUGGGUCUCAUCGGGCUAUACGAGGCAUAUGGGCUAAAAAGUUGUCAGGAUCCGUACCCACCAUACGCGCGUAUGGGCCUAUGAGCGGCAUAUUGGUUUGUUUUUUUUUUUUUAAAAAAAAAGCUUGUAUAUGUUGGUUGCAAAUGUCGGGUAUUUUUGUCAUCCUUACUUGCCACAGAAAUAUACACCAUCUUCACAAUCACAAAUUCACAAUGGUUUUUUGCAAAUGUGGUAGGACGGCUGCACUAAGAACAUCUUGGACUGAAGCUAAUCCCGGACGUCAAUUUUACACUUGUCACAGUCUGCAUUCUAAGUGCAACUUCUUUGUGUGGGUUGAUCCUCCCAUGUGUCGUCGGGCAUGUGUGGUCAUCAAAGAACUGAUGGAUACGAAGGCUGUGCUGAAAACCGAAGUCAAUUUUUUGAGAGAGGAGGUUCGAAUUUAUAAAUUGCAAGAAGCGGAAUUUGAAGGAUUUCAUUCAAGUGUUGUUCGUAAGAGGGAACGUUGGUUGAUAAUCAGUUGGAUUUUUUUUGUGUUGUUUGUCUUGUUAUUUUUCAUUGUUAGUAUGUAAGUUUAUCCAAGACAUGUAAUCGAAUAUUAGUAUAUGUAAUCGAA